rnacentral:rRNA from 1 species
CCUACGGGUGGCUGCAGUGAGGAAUAUUGGUCAAUGGGCGUAAGCCUGAACCAGCCAUCCCGCGUGAAGGAAGAAGGCGCUAUGCGUCGUAAACUUCUUUUCCAGAGGAAUAAAAUUUUGUACGAGUACAGAACUGAAGGUACUUUGGGAAUAAGCAUCGGCUAACUCCGUGCCAGCAGCCGCGGUAAUACGGAGGAUGCGAGCGUUAUCCGGUUUUAUUGGGUUUAAGGCGUGCGAAUAAGGCUGAGGAGAAAACCUUCAGCUUAACUGGAGAACUGCCAUUGAUACUGUUAGUCUUGAGUACGGUCAAGGUAGGCGGAAUGUGUAAUGUAGCGGUGAAAUGCUUAGAUAUUACACAGAACACCGAUUGCGAAGGCAGCUUACUGGGCCAUUACUGACGCUGAUGCACGAAAGCGUGGGGAGCGAACAGGAUUAGAUACCCCAGUAGUC